UCCUACGGGAGGCAGCAGUGAGGAAUAUUGGUCAAUGGUCGGGAGACUGAACCAGCCAAGCCGCGUGAGGGAGGAAGGUACAGAGUAUCGUAAACCUCUUUUGUCAGGGAACAAAGGCGGGGACGUGUCCCCGGAUGAGUGUACCUGAAGAAAAAGCAUCGGCUAACUCCGUGCCAGCAGCCGCGGUAACACGGAGGAUGCGAGCGUUAUCCGGAUUUAUUGGGUUUAAAGGGAGCGUAGGCCGCAUGUCAAGCGUGCUGUGAAAUGUCCGGGCUCAACCCGGGCCUUGCAGCGCGAACUGGCGG
rnacentral:rRNA from 1 species